UUGAUGUAUGUGUAACUUCAAUUCUUGAACUUCUUGUUAUUGUUUAUCAUGCUGAUCAUACUUUGGUUUGUUGUAUGAGUGACUUGUGAUGGUUUGCUUCAUUAUGAAUGUUAACAUGAGCUAUUUUGGUUCGGGCAAAUGCUAGUGAUACUACUCAAAUUUAAGCUAUUUUGUUGAUACUAGUCUAGUUUAACUAUUAAGUAGAUUAUUGGAAUGACUUUUUAAUUGUUUAGUUAAUUUUAUAAUUUUUUUGGUGUGUGUGUGUGGGAGGGGAGUGACUGAAGAUAUCUCAUUCUUGUCAUGAUGUGAAGUCUGAUGAAUAGAGCAAGAAGCCCAUAGCUUAGUGGAGCAAGGCUUCAGUUCCCGUGGCUGUGACCUGGGUUCGAGGCUCAUAUCCCCCCUCCCCCGUGGGUAAUACCCCCUUGAUAUUCCUGUGAUAGGAAAUCAAGGUGAAGCCCACCCCUUACCCCUAAAAAAAUGAAGUCUGGUUUGCUUAUUAUGCCAACAUUCCUUCCUCCAAGAAAGAACGGUUAAAUUAUUUUUUCCGUAAGGCAAUUCAUGAGUUGAGUGGUUAUUAUUCAGUCUCUUUAAUGAGGCUAACUAAGGAUAAUUAAGCACAUGCUCUAUAAUUUAUUAAACUAGAUUAUGAUUUAUGCAUCAUUGCUAGAAGAAUUUUUAAGUGUAUACACAAACAGUUAAGACUCAGGAGGUUUCUUUCAUGUGAUUAUUUAUGAACUAAUUGCUACAUUCCUGAACUUGUAGUGUUUUUUCCCCAUCUGUAUAAAGUAAAUAAAUAUCUAGUUUUCAGUUCUUAUGCCUUUACUAGAGAAGAAAAUACUAGUAGUUAUAACUGUUAAUUCACAUAAUGUUUCAUGGUCAGAUCUUUGGUUAUGUUCUUGGUGUUUCCGCUGGGUUUGUUGUUGGUAAGGCCCUAUGGUUCAUACUAGGGCUUGCAUCGCCAAUCUACUUGGUCAGGGUGGCUCUCGCAAGUAUGGUUUGACCUGGAAUUAGCUCAGAUAUUUCAAGAAUGAUAGAGACCGGCGAGAUUGGAUCACCUGUGGUGCUGCAGCUGGAGUGGCUGCUGCUUUUCGUGCUCCUGUUGGUGGUGUACUUUUUUCCCUUGAAGAAGCAGCCUCCUGUAACUCAGUUAGCACAAACUGUGAUGCAUAGUGCUAUUGGAAAAAUGCCACUUGACAGGACCUUUAUGGAGAGAGACACUAUAAAUGCAAACAUUGUGGGUUUCUUCAGCAUCAACAAGUAGGGUGCUUUACUCUUUUUGGCUAAGUUCUUGUUCGUGGCGCGUUCGAUUUGCUUUAAACUUAAAAGGACUUCAAUAUGAGUAAAAAGCAGUUGAUCUUAUCAAAGGGGAGCAAUUUAAUCCAGGUCCUGUAGCAGGUCUUACUCUGGUACAGAUUCUGCUGCAGUCUCUGUUCUGGGUGCUGGAUUUGGUUUGCUGGGUUCUGGCUUUGUUGAGUUCAGGUCUGCUAGGGUCUGGUUUACAGACGCUCGGGUUUCUGGUUUCUGGUUGCUGUGCUGUUCCUGGCUACUAGGAUCUGGUUGCAGGCUCUGGUGCAGUUCAUGUGCUGGAUUUGGUUGCUGCAGGUGUUGGGUGGCUGGCUAUGCUUGGUAUGCUCAUCUGUUUGGAAACCUGCUGCUGGAAGCCUACUGGUUGUGUCUGUUUGGGUUGUUUCUAUUUUUUGUUUCUGUUAGGGUGGGCUGCUGUCUUCUAUUGCAGUGCAUCAUGGUUGGCUAUUUUUGAAGAAAAUAUAUAUGUUAGUGUUUAUAUGUCCAUUUUUUUUUAGUUUUUUAAAGUGUAAUAUUACAAGUU